rnacentral:rRNA from 1 species
AUCUGGCUGUCGAGAUGCCUAAAAAGCAUUUCAUAGCAAGGGCUGGGCAAGACCGGUGCCAGCCGCCGCGGUAACACCGGCGGCUCGAGUGGUAACCGUUAUUAUUGGGUCUAAAGGGUCUGUAGCCGGCCGGAUAAGUCUCUUGAGAAAUCUGGCAGCUUAACUGUCAGGCUUUCAGGAGAUACUGUCUGGCUCGAGGCCGGGAGAGGUGAGAGGUACUUCAGGGGUAGGGGUGAAAUCUUGUAAUCCUUGAAGGACCACCAGUGGCGAAGGCGUCUCACCAGAACGGACCUGACGGCAAGGGACGAAAGCUAGGGGCACGAACCGGAUUAGAUACCCGGGUAGUCCUAGCCGUAAACGAUACUCGCUAGGUGUCGGCCACGGUGCGACCGUUGUCGGUGCCGUAGGGAAGCCGUGAAGCGAGGUCCU